rnacentral:rRNA from 1 species
GAAGGGGGCUAGCGUUGUUCGGAAUUACUGGGCGUAAAGCGCGCGUAGGCGGUGAUCUUUGUCAGAGGUGAAAGCCCCGGGCUCAACUCCGGAAUUGCCUUUGAAACGGGAUCGCUAGAGUCCGAGAGAGGAUGGCGGAAUUCCUAGUGUAGAGGUGAAAUUCGUAGAUAUUAGGAAGAACACCGGUGGCGAAGGCGGCCAUCUGGCUCGGUACUGACGCUCAGGCGCGAAAGCGUGGGGAGCAAACAGGAUUAGAUACCCUGGUAGUCCACGCCGUAAACUAUGAAUGCUAGUUGUUAGGAAGUUUACUUCUUAGUGACGCAGCUAACGCGUUAAGCAUUCCGCCUGGGGAGUACGGUCGCAAGAUUA